AUGACCCAGUCAUCAGAGUCACACUCAGCCUCCCCUGAUGCCUACGCCCUGCGGACAGACAGGAGUACACCCUGGUCAGCCAUCCAUCAGCCCUGUGACCUGGGUGCCUGGCUCCUCCCUGGUAAACCUCUCUCAUCAGCGAGGCACAUUUGGACAUCUUCAGCAUCACGUGAUUCUCCUGAAAAUGUCAAGCCUGUCAGGUCAGACGUGUUUCAGAAUCCUCAGUUCCUGCUGGAGCCCCUGGUGAGCAGAAAAAGAAAGUGGCCUCCUCCCUCCUCGGGCAGAGGUCAGUGCUUGUCAAGAUGCUCAGUGGCUGAGCCAUCCCCGCCCCUGCAAGUACAUUCUCAGAGCACAUUCUCAGAUCAGGACAGAUGUAAAGAACGAGCCAAGAGUCACAGACCUCCCAGUUCUCCAGAGCAUGAGGUACAACGUGGUUAUGACAGUCCCACAGAAAAGCGCCCCGCCAAAGAAGCCCUUCCUUCCAUCCAUCUGCCCGAAUAUCACCCGUGCAUCCUUCUCAUUCACACACCCUCCUUUAUGCAGCCACCCGUCCAUCUUUCCAUCCACCCCCCCAUCCAUGCAUUCCUCAUCUGUCUUUCCAUCCACCCACCCACCCGUCCAUCCAUGCACCCUUUGUCAUCCACCCAUGCAUCUUUCCCCUUCUGUCCAUCCACCCAUCCAUGCAUCCACCCAUCUCCUGGAUUCACUCACAAGUGAUCCUUUCAAAAGUUUUGGAUGCAGCCUGGAACCUCCCAUAGCACCAUGGUCUGUGCAGAGAAUCAUCCAAGGUUUGUGAAUCCAUUCUAUGUCCUCUGGGACUGAAGCUACAAAUGACCCCAGGGAACAUUUUUGAAUGAUGAUAAAAACGCAAGCAUUUUUAGACCUGAAGCACGGGGACUUUUUACAUAUCCCAGCACUAAAAUGGUUGUUUGGGGUAUCCCUCGGGUUUCUCCUCAGCCCAGCUCGUAGAAAACACCAGUGUUUGGGAAAGCCAGAUCUGCCUGGGGACCGGUUAUGAGGCUGAUGCUAAGAUCUGCUCCAAGUCCUCCUCCCUCGCUGUAGGGGGGCCCUGCUGACCCCACCUCCACUCCAGUCCCCUCUGGUCCCUCAACACACGGCCCCACCAAGUCCUGGACUUGACGCAUUUCUUCCAAUAGGCCAUCUCCCCUUGUCCUCGAGGCACAUGUUGUCCUGAGUCCAUCCUCUCCAAACACUGCACAAUUAACCGGACUAAAUAUUUUGACUUCCUCCGUCUCUCUUUCUGCAGCUUUGGACUGACUUCAAGCACCUUUCAGAAUUGAUUGGCUGUGAUGCUGCUCUAUUGCGUUAUCGAUUUCAGUUCCCGUGUAAAACAAGGAGUUUAUGUCCACACACAGAACAUAAGUGCUACUGUGCUGUCUAAAUAUUAUAUCUCGCUGUCACAGUGGGAUGGGAAAGCAUAAACAUACUUUUAAUUGACCUCAAGACACUCGUGUCAGUCACGGGCAGCGAGGCUGGAUGCUGCUGUCCCCAGGAACUCCAUGGCCUCCGGCUGUGCCAGCGCUGGCCACGCCACCUCUGCAUGAAGAAGCACAGACAUAUGGAGUCCUCCCCCGGCUAGAGCCACCUCCCCACUGCAUUCUGUGGAGUGUGGGGGACACACGCGUCAGGAGAACGUCCUCCUACUCGACGAAGGCCAGGCAGGUUAGUACCCGCCCACCUAGAAAUCACUUUUUCUCUCUCUCGGAAUGAACAAGGAUUUUAACAAGUGACAGUCAAGCGUGACCAGUCCCACGCAGAGCCCUGCAUGACUCUCCAUCCAUCAAGUUUGCUAAAGUGAGAAAACUUGCUGUCUACUGUCCAUUUUCUUCCAGAAAAAAAUAAGAGGGGGAGUAAGUUAAAACUAAACAAGAGACUUUUUUUCAACUUUAAAUCUGUAAAACUAGAAAUCAGCAAACUCUUUCUUAAAGGACCAGGUGUAAAUAUUUCAGAUUUUGUGAACUCUGGUCUCCGUGAAAACUUCUCCCCUCUACCAAGGUAGCCAUAGCCUAUAUGGAAAUGAGCAGGUGUGGCUGUGUUGCAAUAAAACUUUAUUUAUAAAAGCAAGCACAGCCAGGUGCAUGCCUGUCAACCCAGCACUUUCAGAGGCUCAGGUAGGAGGAGGACCACAAGUUUGAGCCCAGCCUGGGCAACAUAGAAGAUCUUGUGUCAAGAUUUUUUUUUAAAAAAAGGGUGUGAGGCCAGGCAUGGUGGUGCAUGCCUGUAAUCCCAGCACUCUGGAGGCUGAGGCAGGAGGAUCACUGCAAGUUCAAGGCCAGCCUGAACUGCAUAGUGAAACCCUGUCUCAAAAAGGCAAAAAAAAAUUAAAAAUAAAAAAAGGUACUGACGUAGUUCAAAGCAAAGGCCCUCAGUUCAAUCUCCAAUGCCACUUUAAAAAAAUUUUUUUUUCUUAAAAAAGCAAGCAAGUGAGAUCUGUGACUUGUAGUUUGAGGCCUCUGCUUUGGGGUGGUACUACUCCAAGACAUGGGUGGGGUACUGUCCAAGAAACUGGAUCUCGAGGGCACCUCUGGCGUUAGACAGACUGUGACAGUGCGACCCGGGGUAACCCUCAGGGAAUGUCCCUUCAGGUAAGAGAUGGACCCUGUGCCUCCUGGGAUCCUGGGAGAACCUGUCCACAGGGGCUUUCCUCUUCUCCUGUGACCCAGCCUUCACGUUUCCUCCCAGCUCGGCCAUUAGAGGUUAAAGAAGUGCCAAGGGUCCAGACUGCAUUCUCCAGGGGCACUGGCAGGGAUGGCAGGGACCGCAUCAACCCUCAGGGCCCUGUCCCCAGCGGUAGCACCCAAGGUGAUAGAGCAGCAGUGACUGUCUUGCUUCCCUGGGAAAAGUUCCAGUUGGGAGGCAGGGUGCAAAGGCAGCUGCUGUUCUGAGACAAGCAAGAGACAAGCAGCCCGGACCUGAGCCCCUCGGACAGGCUGCGCUCAAGUGUGGACCAAGUCCUCCACCCACAGUUAAAUACUUAGCAGUUAAUUGGCUUUGGCAAUAUAAAAAAGACUAUUUGAACUCCCUCAAAAUGCAAUCCAGACACUUUAUGAAAAGAAGCUAGAUAUACUGCAGUGCUGAGUAGACCUUCUCUCGCCAUCAGCCUCCUUAAAAGCACUUCAAGGGUAAAAAUAUUCUUAAAUCAAAAGGAAUGCCUCACUUAGCAAGACGGGAGUUGGCAGGGUCUGUCCAGCGGCUCCUUUCGUUAUCAGAAAGGACAAAUAGGGGCUGGGGAUUUAGCUCAGCGGCAAAGCGCCUGCCUGGCAAGCGCAAGGUCGUGAGUUCAGUUCCCGGUACCGGAGAAAAAUCAAAAAAAAAAAAAAAAAGAAAGAAAUGACAAAUGGAGCUUGGGGCUCCGCCUGUGGGGUCCUCCUGACGGGCAGGGCGAGGAAAGCGCAGGCGCACAGGAAGGGGGUCAGGCUGCCUGUGAGCUCUCGGCCCCAGGCGGGACCCCAAGGAACUCAAAGGGCUGUUGGAAAGAGUGAGGGAGUCGUGGCAAGAGCAAGGCAGGGCGGCGACAGUGACCAGGGAGUGUGGAAUCGAGCAUGAGAUGCGGGGGGAGCUUAUGGACAGCCACAAGGAGCAAGAGAGGAGAGUGAGACAGAGACUUGCGGGGAGGGACCCCACAGGGCGAGGGCCUUUCUUCUUCUUUCUAACCACCGGGCAUUAAACUCGCUCUUACAUGUGCUAGGCAAAGCACUCUACCACGGAGUGGCACCCCGGGCUCUUUUAAAGUAUGCUGAGGCAGGGUCUAAGUUUCCCAGGCUGGCCUCAACAUUGGGACCCCCCUUUCUCAGCCUCCCAAGGAGCUGGGAUGACAGGCAUCCACCACAGUGCCCAGCUACAGAAGACCUUUCUUACCAGUGCAAGUGAGGAUGCAGACACACACAGAUACAUAGACACACAAAUACACAUAGCUACACACACAUGUGCACACAUGUGCACACAGAGAGACCUCAUGCAGGUGCAGAACAGAGAGAUACACACAAUGCAAAGCCACACAAGCCCACACACAGAGACACAAGUAUGCACACAGCAGUGUCAUGGCUUGAUGGGUCCUAAAGCCCCCCAAAGGCCAAGGGAUUGAAGGUUCGGUCCCAACCUGAGGCACCGCCAAGAGGUGGUGGGAAUAUUGGAGGUGGGACCUGGGGCGGAAGUGACAUUACAGGGUCAUGGCCUUGACAAGCUGCAGGUACCAGGCCUUUCUUUCUCUCCUUGUUUCUGGGCACCAGGAAGUGAGCAGCCUCAGCCACCACAUAACUGUGACUCCGCGUGGGGCCACAAGCCCCAUGACCAGGGAUGGAAGUGAGCCGAAGUGAACCUUUCCUCUGGUUAACAUGACCGUGCCCGGUACUCUGUCACAGUGACAUAACGCUGACCAACAUAAACAGGCACACGCAGAAAUUAAUACACACGCUUCACCCAGCAGCAGACACACGCACACACAGAGGCACACACACAGACCUGGAGUGGGAAAAACACAGGUUCAGAACACACACACACUCACACUCAAGGAGGAGCACGCCACCGAAGACAAGCACAAUGUCGCCUCCAAGCCUGGUUCUUCCUUCCAGGCCACAGGAAACUGCGUGACGAAGGCGGGAGCAACCUCAGCCAGGCCACCCAGGCACUGCUAAGCUUGAGUUCAGGCUGGGCAUGACUUGCCAGGCCCAAGACUCAGCACGCAUGCUCAGGGCUUGUGUGUGUGGGCACGUGUGCAUGGGGGGGGGGUACAGAAUGCAAACUGCCCCAUCCAAAUCAAAAGCUCAGCACCCUGGGCUGUGGCCUCAAACUCCUCCUGCCUCUCUCCCCUGCUGGAGCACCCGGGCCCCAGAGGCCCCUUGUCCACCCCUGGGAGCAGGGUCCGCAGGCCUCUGGCCUUGGCCCCUCUGCAGAGCAGACACAGGAGGAGGCUCUUCCCAGACUCAGCCCCACCCCAGCUGUGUGGCCACAGGGAAGGCCUACUGUCCCUGCGCCCUCUGCAGCCCAGGACCCACCACCCCACCACACCCCUGACCCUAACCCUGAGGGACGUGAGUCUGUGCCCUGUGCCCAGUGAUUCUGCAGUCCCCAUGCUCUUGGAGCAAGGCCUGGCCGGAAGGAAGCCCUCAGCCUGCACCACUGAUGGGUGAGGGAGUGGCAUAGGAGGUGAGGCUUGGGGACAGCGGGCAGAAAGGAGGCAGCCGUGCCCACCUCGGGCUCUCCCCGCCUCCCGGGUCUAGGCUCCGCACUCUCCUAGAAGGCCCGAGGCUACGCAGUGCCCUGAAGAGCAGAACAAGGAGCCAGAGCCCGGCCCGGGCUUCGCUGGGUGGCCGGGGGCGGGAUUCGUCCAAACCACCCUGGAAGACCCAGACAGGAGCGAAGCUGUGAUUAUAAAGAACGCGCGUUCCAGGGCGGCAUGGCCGGGCGGGGCAGCAGCAGAGGGAGCAAUCCCACGAGCCAGCAAGGGAGAUUUGUUAACAAGCUCAUGUAGGAAUAUUCCAGUGAAUCAUUCAGCAUCCAAAUAAAUUAUUCACCCCCUCA
rnacentral:lncRNA from 1 species